CGAAUAAUGAGUCAUUGUAAGAGUGAAGAAGAACAUGAGGAACAUACAUUGCAGGGAAUGCACUGCUCCCCAUCGCAGCACCAAAGAGGAAAAAACCUACAGCACUCUUUAGCACAUCAGAGUUUACUAAACAGAGCAGAAAACAGCCAAAACCAGGAAUUUGAUGAGGGUAAGAAGCACAGCAGAUUUUACAUAACAGGAGGUGACACAGGUGAUGGGAGAAACAAAGGCUGCUGCUGUGCAGGGAGAAAUGUUUAGAGGAUGUUCUGGCCAGGAACAAAUGCAUGGCAAGAUUUGACAAGGCAUUGCCAACAUGACCUUAGAGCUUUCCUCCUCAUGCUAAAGAUACCACCUUUGACAUUGUGAGGUGCACUGCAGAACUGCAUCUCUUAAUGGAAGUUCCCAGGCAAGCUGCCAGUGCUCUGCAAACAGAUAAAUUUAUGGUCUUUCAGGUACAAACAGGCAUGAUUUGUGGUCUGGAGGAGGAUGUGGUUCUUUCCAUUUGUUCUCCCUCUCCCCUUCUAAGCCUUCCAAAGCACACAUGAGAGUGGCUCAGCAGUGUAAUUGUCACAGGUCUGGUAAGCUGGGGCAAUCAAGGUUACUUACAUACCUUCAGCAAAAAUAGGUAAAAUUUCCAUAAUCCAUUAAUCAUUCUGAAAAAUACUGUGUUGGCCUCACUGGUACAACCCAAGACACCCAGGAACCAUAUGCUUUAUUCUUAUUUCUGCCACUGAAUCUGUG
rnacentral:lncRNA from 1 species